AUUGAACGCUGGCGGCAGGCCUAACACAUGCAAGUCGAACGAGUGGCGGACGGGUGAGUAAUGUCUGGGAAUCUGCCUGAUGGAGGGGGAUAACUACUGGAAACGGUCGCUAAUACCGCAUACCAUCAGAUGUGCCCAGAUGGGAUUAGCUAGUGGGUGGGGUAACGGCUCACCAAGGCGACGAUCCCUAGCUGGUCUGAGAGGAUGACCAGCCACACUGGAACUGAGACACGGUCCAGACUCCUACGGGAGGCAGCAGUGGGGAAUAUUGGACAAUGGGCGCAAGCCUGAUCCAGCCAUGCCGCGUGGAUGAAGAAGGCCUUCGGGUUGUAAAGUACUUUCAGUGGGAAGGCGUUACCCGCAGAAGAAGCACCGGCUAACUCCGUGCCAGCAGCCGCGGUAAUAC
rnacentral:rRNA from 1 species